CACCUUGGAAUCCACCAAGGACCCAAAAUAUAUACAUACAUAUAUAUAAGACCUCUAUAUGGCGGCGGCGUUAUUAACGCAGUCAGCAAGUGAGGAAGGAACGAAAAGAUCAAAAGCUUUAACGCGCCACCUUUUUUCAAGAAUUUAUGGACCACUGUUUCAAGAGCUCUAUUCCCUAAAACUUUGUCAAAAAUUCAAGUCAAAUUUUAAGUUAUUCUCCCCUCAAAAAAAUAAAGUCAGAAACACGGAGCGUGAUUUUUUCCUAAGUGCGGUUUUCACUUGCCACGCAGCCAGCCAGCAAAAUGUUUUCCACCAAAAUCGGAUACAAACACAACAGAGCAACUGAAACGGCAACGGCGACACCCGAGUUUUCCACGGAGGCGAAUCGACCCGGGCUUAAUGCUUAAGCCCGCUGCGACAGGACAUUUAAUCUCGUUGUAUUAGAGCUGCUGGUGUGGGGCCGCACGACACGGGACCAAGACCCGAGACCCAAAACUGGAGCUGGUCCUGGCACUGGCACUGGCACAAGGAGUGAGACUUAAAGUGCCUCAAGUGGAAGUCAGCCGUGGCGGAGGAGUCCAAAGGCCGAAACCGAAUCUCGGUCCUCCAUUUACGUUCAGCCAGGAGUCUUUGUCGUUGUUGUUUCUGUUUGCCACGAAUCGAGAGAUGUCAUGGGGCUAAUGUGAAAUCGUUUCUUUUGGUACU